rnacentral:rRNA from 1 species
UGGGGAAUAUUGCACAAUGGGCGAAAGCCUGAUGCAGCGACGCCGCGUGAGUGAAGAAGUAUUUCGGUAUGUAAAGCUCUAUCAGCAGGGAAGAAAAUGACGGUACCUGACUAAGAAGCCCCGGCUAACUACGUGCCAGCAGCCGCGUUAAUACGUAGGGGGCAAGCGUUAUCCGGAUUUACUGGGUGUAAAGGGAGCGUAGACGGCGAAGCAAGUCUGAAGUGAAAACCCAGGGCUCAACCCUGGGACUGCUUUGGAAACUGUUUUGCUAGAGUGUCGGAGAGGUAAGUGGAAUUCCUAGUGUAGCGGUGAAAUGCGUAGAUAUUAGGAGGAACACCAGUGGCGAAGGCGGCUUACUGGACGAUAACUGACGUUGAGGCUCGAAAGCGUGGGGAGCAAACAGG